GUCAAAAUUAAAGAGAGCUCUCUAAAACAUAGUGGAAGCACAGCACUGAAAGAGAAGAGAAAUGGCAUCGUGGGCUCUCUCUAGAAUCAGCAACCUCCAAAAACACUUGAGCCCCAAUAUUCCCUCUCCAAAGGGUGAAGGGCUAGUUAAGAUAUCACCAGAAGUUUCAGAAGCUCUGUCACUUGGGAAACCGGUGGUUGCUCUUGAAUCUACAAUAAUUUCCCAUGGAAUGCCAUAUCCUCAAAAUUUGGAAACAGCUAAAGAGGUCGAGGCUAUAGUAAGACAGAAUGGAGCUAUACCUGCCACUAUUGCUAUUUUGGAUGGUGUACCUUGCAUAGGUUUAUCUCCAGAAGAACUUGAAAGGCUUGCUACUAUAGGAAGAAAAGCUCGAAAGACAGCUCGCAGGGACAUUGCACACGUUGUUGCCACGGGAGGGAAUGGUGCCACUACUGUUUCAGCAACAAUGUUUUUUGCAUCCAUGGCUGGGAUCCCAAUAUUUGUUACUGGUGGUAUUGGGGGAGUUCAUAGGCAUGGAGAGAGUACUAUGGAUAUUUCUUCUGAUCUCGUGGAGUUGGGAAGGACGCCUGUUGCUGUAGUUUCCGCUGGUGUGAAAUCAAUAUUAGAUAUUCCUAGAACGCUGGAAUAUUUGGAAACUCAAGGAGUUUGCGCUGCUGCAUAUCAGACCAGUGAGUUUCCUGCCUUCUUCACCGAAAAGAGUGGCUGCAAGGCACCCUGUCGUGUUGACUCUCCUGAGGAAUGUGCUCGAUUAAUAGAAGCACAUAAUAGUCUUAUGCUGGGGACUGGAAUUCUUAUAUCAGUCCCUAUUCCAAGCAAAUAUUCUGCCUCAGGAAACUUUAUUGAGUCAGCGAUACAGAAAGCUCUAAAGGAAGCCCGGGAGCAGAAUAUUACUGGCAGCAGUGAAACUCCGUUUUUGCUUGCUAGAGUGAACGAGCUGACUGGGGGAGCCUCCCUCUCUGCAAGUAUUCUUUGUCAAAUUCCUUCAUCUUCAUAACCAAAUACACUGAUAAAUAGAGACUAAAAGUGCUACUAGACAUUGCUCUAGUGAAAAAUAAUGCACGUGUAGGCGCUCAGAUUGCAGUCUCUCUCUCUCAGCUGCGCCAAGAAAGUUAUAAAGAAUGCAGUUAAAUGUCCAAAAUGGUAGUUCAGCAAGAACAAUAGCAACUGAAGCCCUAUCUGUUGAAUUUCUUGUUUUAGGUACCUAACGGUGUAGAGGUGAGGUCGAUUGGUAACAACUCCCUUUUCACAUUGCUCGUAGAGAACUUCAUUGUGAAAGGAAUAUGCGUGGUCUCUAAACUAUAACCUUAUUUUAUUUUUUUCGUUGGUUACAUUUUACCAAAAUGAAGUUUUCUAUCCACCAAACCCACAAGUCUUAUAGCUCAGUUGUCUCCUUUACAAGGAGAUAGAUAUCUCCAUGACUCCAACUACGCGUGAGCUGUCGAUGGCUAUAUCAUGUCCCUUGCGAAAUGAAUGACAACGAUCCUACCAGAUUUAGGGUUGUAAAAAAUUUUUGGCAAAACACAUCUAUAAAAGCCCUUAUGCUUUGUAGUACUCUAUUAAGUACAUUAAAUCCUUGUACAAUUUUUUUGGGUUUUAAUAAAUCCCUUUACUCUUACAUUUAA